ACGAACGCUGGCGGCGUGCUUAACCCCUGCAAGUCGCACGGAAAGGCCCUGCUUUUGUGGGGUGCUCGAGUGGCGAACGGGUGAGUAACACGUGAGUAACCUGCCCUUGACUUUGGGAUAACUUCAGGAAACUGGGGCUAAUACCGGAUAGGAGCUCCUGCUGCAUGGUGGGGGUUGGAAAGUUUCGGCGGUUGGGGAUGGACUCGCGGCUUAUCAGCUUGUUGGUGGGGUAGUGGCUUACCAAGGCUUUGACGGGUAGCCGGCCUGAGAGGGUGACCGGCCACAUUGGGACUGAGAUACGGCACAGACUCCUACGGGAGGCAGCAGUGGGGAAUAUUGCACAAUGGGCGGAAGCCUGAUGCAGCAACGCCGCGUGCGGGAUGACGGCCUUCGGGUUGUAAACCGCUUUCGCCUGUGACGAAGCGUGAGUGACGGUAAUGGGUAAAGAAGCACCGGCUAACUACGUG
rnacentral:rRNA from 1 species